rnacentral:rRNA from 1 species
AACGAACGCUGGUGGCGUGCUUAACACAUGCAAGUCGAACGCGAAAGGGACUUCGGUCCCGAGUAGAGUGGCGCACGGGUGAGUAACGCGUAAGUAAUCUACCCCUGUAUCUGGAAUAACCCACCGAAAGGUGAGCUAAUACCGGAUACGUUUAUCUUGAUGCGAAUGAUGAUAAAGAAAGGUGGCCUCUUCAUGAAAGCUACUGUACAGGGAUGAGCUUGCGUACCAUUAGCUAGUUGGUAGGGUAAUGGCCUACCAAGGCGACGAUGGUUAGCGGGUCUGGGAGGAUGAUCCGCCACACUGGAACUGGAACACGGACCAGACUCCUACGGGAGGCAGCAGUGAGGAAUAUUGCGCAAUGGGGGCAACCCUGACGCAGCGACGCCGCGUGGAUGAUGAAGGCCCUUGGGUCGUAAAAUCCUGUCAGAUGGAAAGAAAUGUACGGGUGUUAAUAUCGCCUGUAUUUGACGGUACCAUCAAAGGAAGCACCGGCUAACUCCGUGCCAGCCGCCGCGGUAAAAC